rnacentral:rRNA from 1 species
AACGAACGCUGGCGGCAGGCUUAACACAUGCAAGUCGAACGCAUCCUUCGGGGUGAGUGGCAGACGGGUGAGUAACGCGUGGGAACGUGCCCUUCAGUUCGGGAUAACCCAGGGAAACUUGGGCUAAUACCGGAUACGUGCGAGAGCAGAAAGAUUUAUCGCUGAAGGAGCGGCCCGCGUCUGAUUAGCUAGUUGGUGGGGUAAUGGCCCACCAAGGCGACGAUCAGUAGCUGGUCUGAGAGGAUGAUCAGCCACAUUGGGACUGAGACACGGCCCUAACUCCUACGGGAGGCAGCAGUGGGGAAUAUUGGACAAUGGGCGCAGGCCUGAUCCAGCCAUGCCGCGUGAGUGAUGAAGGCCUUAGGGUUGUAAAGCUCUUUCGUCCGGGACGAUAAUGACGGUACCGGAAGAAGAAGCCCCGGCUAACUUCGUGCCAGCCGCCGCCGUAAAAC